rnacentral:rRNA from 1 species
AACGAACGCUGGCGGCAUGCCUAACACAUGCAAGUCGAACGAGACCUUCGGGUCUAGUGGCGCACGGGUGCGUAACGCGUGGGAACCUGCCUUUAGGUUCGGAAUAACUCAGAGAAAUUUGAGCUAAUACCGGAUAAUGUCUUCGGACCAAAGAUUUAUCGCCUUUAGAUGGGCCCGCGUAAAGAUUAGCUAGUUGGUGGGGUAAAGCCUACCAAGGCGACGAUCUUUAGCUGGUCUGAGAGGAUGAUCAGCCACACUGGGACUGAGACACGGCCCAGACUCCUACGGGAGGCAGCAGUGGGGAAUAUUGGACAAUGGGCGAAAGCCUGAUCCAGCAAUGCCGCGUGAGUGAUGAAGGCCUUAGGGUUGUAAAGCUCUGUCAUCUGGG